UCUCUCUCUCUAGUCUCUCUCUCUCUAGUCUCUCUCUCUAGUCUCUCUCUCUAGUCUCUCUCUCUCUCUCUAGUCUCUCUCUCUAGUCUCUCUCUCUCUAGUCUCUCUCUCUAGUCUCUCUCUCUCUAGUCUCUCUCUCUCUAGUCUCUCUCUCUCUAGUCUCUCUCUCUCUACUCUCUCUCUCUAGUCUCUCUCUCUCUAGUCUCUCUCUCUAGUCUCUCUCUCUCUAGUCUCUCUCUCUAGUCUCUCUCUCUAGUGUCUCUCUCUAGUCUCUCUCUCUCUAGUCUCUC
rnacentral:lncRNA from 1 species